rnacentral:rRNA from 1 species
UACGUAGGGGGCAAGCGUUGUCCGGAAUUAUUGGGCGUAAAGAGCGUGUAGGCGGUCCGGUAAGUCGGCUGUGAAAGUCCAGGGCUCAACCCUGGGAUGCCGGUCGAUACUGCCGGACUAGAGUUCGGAAGAGGCGAGUGGAAUUCCCGGUGUAGCGGUGAGAUGCGCAGAUAUCGGGAGGAACACCUAUGGCGAAGGCAGCUCGCUGGGACGUUACUGACGCUGAGACGCGAAAGCGUGGGGAGCAAACAGG